UAUUGGGUAUACCCAAUAAGAAGUGUCGCUGAAUAUGCUUAAAACACCCUAAUUGGGUAUUUGCAGGUUAGUACCCAACAAAACUUGGACACGACGAUUUGUCCAAAAAAGUGUCCAAAAAAGUUGCUUUCACGGACGCACCGUGUUUUGUUGUUUCAGUUUUACAUUCGGAACUCUAAAUUCUCGAGAGUUCCGAAAAUCAACUUCCGUUGAUCCUGAUCAUAACAACGUUUGUUUUCAUGGAAAAAAAAUAUGGCGACUAAGAAACACUUAAUGUCAACAAGAUUUUCUGAUUGACAAGAGAAAAGGUCAAACAGGAACUUCAAUUGUGAACAUUGCAGAGAACACACCCAUCAGAAGAUGACCCUCAGAAAUAGGACAAUUAAUGAAUAAAAUGGACAGAGGCAGAACUGAAGGAGAUGCAUGAAAUGAGGAAUAUUUCAAAGAUUGCCUGAGCAUAACCACUGCUACUGGAUAAACAUAUGGCAAUGUAAAAGAGCAGGGUCAAUGGAGGUAUCAUACAGUAUAGGCCAUGAGAGACCCUGAAGAAGAAAGUAUUGAACAGAAACAAAAAUAAAACCAUUUUGACAUUUAUUGAAAUAUAGGAUCAAAGUCUUAUAUGUAAAAUUUGGGCAUGUAAUGACUUUUCUCUAGUUCUAAGACUUAUAACAGUGAUGAUUUGAUUUAAUAUCUUUAUCCCAUUUUGUCGAAAAGAUUUGGACAUA